GACGAACGCUGGCGGCGUGCUUAACACAUGCAAGUCGAACGGAAAGGCCCUGCUUUUGUGGGGUGCUCGAGUGGCGAACGGGUGAGUAACACGUGAGUAACCUGCCCUUGACUUUGGGAUAACUUCAGGAAACUGGGGCUAAUACCGGAUAGGAGCUCCUGCUGCAUGGUGGGGGUUGGAAAGUUUCGGCGGUUGGGGAUGGACUCGCGGCUUAUCAGCUUGUUGGUGGGGUAGUGGCUUACCAAGGCUUUGACGGGUAGCCGGCCUGAGAGGGUUACCGGCCACAUUGGGACUGAGAUACGGACCAGACUCCUACGGGAGGCAGCAGUGGGGAAUAUUGCACAAUGGGCGGAAGCCUGAUGCAGCAACGCCGCGUGCGGGAUGACGGCCUUCGGGUUGUAAACCGCUUUCGCCUGUGACGAAGCGUGAGUGACGGUAAUGGGUAAAGAAGCACCGGCUAACUACGUG
rnacentral:rRNA from 1 species